UACGUAGGGGGCAAGCGUUGUCCGGAAUCAUUGGGCGUAAAGAGCUCGUAGGCGGCUCGGUAAGUCGGGUGUGAAACCCCCAGGCUCAACCUGGGGACGCCACCCGAUACUGCUGUGGCUAGAGUCCAGUAGGGGAGUGUGGAAUUCCCGGUGUAGCGGUGAAAUGCGCAGAUAUCAGGAGGAACACCGGUGGCGAAGGCGGGUCUCUGGGCCGUAACUGACGCUGAGGAGCGAAAGCAUGGGGAGCGAACAGG
rnacentral:rRNA from 1 species